rnacentral:tRNA from 1 species
UGGGGUUGUGGCUCAGUGGUGGAGCACUCAGCUGGCACAUGCGGGGCCCUGGGUUCGAUUCUUAGCACCACAA